UACGAAGGGGGCUAGCGUUGCUCGGAAUCACUGGGCGUAAAGGGUGCGUAGGCGGGUCUUUAAGUCGAGGGGUGAAAUCCUGGAGCUCAACUCCAGAACUGCCUUUGAUACUGAAGAUCUUGAGUUCGGGAGAGGUGAGUGGAACUGCGAGUGUAGAGGUGAAAUUCGUAGAUAUUCGCAAGAACACCAGUGGCGAAGGCGGCUCACUGACCCGAUACUGACGCUGAGGCACGAAAGCGUGGGGAGCAAACAGGG
rnacentral:rRNA from 1 species